rnacentral:rRNA from 1 species
GAUGAACGCUAGUGGCAGGCCUAAUACAUGCAAGUCGAACGGGAUCCAGAUCAAAGCUUGCUUUGAUCUGGUGAGAGUGGCGCACGGGUGCGUAACGCGUGAGCAACCUACCCUUCUUAGGGGGAUAGCCCGGCGAAAGUCGGCUAAAUCCCGCAUGACAUCAUUGAGAGACAUCUUUCGAUGUUCAACGAUUUAUCGGACAAGGAGGCGCUCGCGUUACAUCAGCUUGUUGGUAAGGUAACAGCUUACCAAGGCUGCGCUGCCUAGGGGUGCUGAGAGGAGAAUCCACUACACUGGUACUGCGACCCGGACCAGAAUGCUACGCGACGCAGCAGUAUAUAAGAUUAGGCAAUGAACGGAAAUCUGAACCUGCCACGCCGCGUGAAGGAGGACGGCCGUAUUGGUUGUAAUCUGCUUUGAAACGGGAACAACCGUCGGUACGUGUACUGGUCUGAGGGUACCGUAAGAAUAAGGACCGGCUAACUCCGUG